rnacentral:rRNA from 1 species
CCUACGGGACGCAGCAGUGGGGAAUAUUGCACAAUGGGGGAAACCCUGAUGCAGCGACGCCGCGUGAGUGAUGAAGUAUUUCGGUAUGUAAAGCUCUAUCCGCAGGGAAGAAAAUGACGGUACCUGACUAAGAAGCACCGGCUAAAUACGUGCCAGCAGCCGCGGUAAUACGUAUGGUGCAAGCGUUAUCCGGAUUUACUGGGUGUAAAGGGAGCGUAGACGGAGAGGCAAGUCUGAUGUGAAAACCCGGGGCUCAACCCCGGGACUGCAUUGGAA